rnacentral:pre_miRNA from 1 species
AGGAGGAACAACUGCAGUGGUGGCGGCCAGCUCUGGAGCCCUGGAGUCAGCUCCCGCAGUAACUACAGAGCUCUCCGUCUGCAGGGCCUGGAGGCUCCGGGGCGGG